CUGCGGAAGGAUCAUUACAGUAGUCACCCGGGUUGCCGCAAGGCCUCUCGGGUAACCUACCACCCUUUGUUUAUUACACUUUGUUGCUUUGGCAGGCCUGCCUUCGGGCUGCUGGCUCCGGCCGGCGAGCGCUUGCCAGAGGAUCUAAACUCUGUUUGUCUAUACUGUCUGAGUACUAUAUAAUAGUUAAAACUUUCAACAACGGAUCUCUUGGUUCUGGCAUCGAUGAAGAACGCAGCGAAAUGCGAUAAGUAAUGUGAAUUGCAGAAUUCAGUGAAUCAUCGAAUCUUUGAACGCACAUUGCGCCCCCUGGUAUUCCGGGGGGCAUGCCUGUCCGAGCGUCAUUACAACCCUCAAGCUCUGCUUGGUGUUGGGCCCCGCCGCCCCGGCGGGCCCUAAAGUCAGUGGCGGUGCCAUCCGGCUCCGAGCGUAGUAAUUCUUCUCGCUCUGGAGGUCCGGUUGUGUGCUUGCCAUCAACCCCCAAUUUUUUUCAGGUUGACCUCGGAUCAGGUAGGGAUACCCGCUGAACUUAAGCAUAUCAAUAAGCGGAGGAAAAGAAACCAACAGGGAUUACCUCAGUAACGGCGAGUGAAGCGGUAACAGCUCAAAUUUGAAAUCUGGCCUCACGGUCCGAGUUGUAAUUUGUAGAGGAUGCUUCGAGCAUGGUCUGGCCUAAGUUCCUUGGAACAGGACGUCAUAGAGGGUGAGAAUCCCGUAUGCGGCCAGGUGCCUACGCUCAUGUGAAGCUCCUUCGACGAGUCGAGUUGUUUGGGAAUGCAGCUCAAAAUGGGUGGUAAAUUUCAUCUAAAGCUAAAUAUUGG
rnacentral:rRNA from 1 species